GUAGAAGGUAUCCUGCUACAUUGC
rnacentral:siRNA from 1 species